UGCUGUUGAUAUGAGACUCAGUGAAUAACUAUCAAUGGAUCUGACCUUGAACGAGGCCACAUUCCUUGUGUAUGUGGCCACCUCAAGGCAAAUGAUAAGUACAAAAUGGGAACGCCAAGAUCACCAGAGAACUGUCAUGGAAUCUUUCAUGUGACUCCAUGUUUUAAAGAUAUGGCUGCUGGAAGAACAACUGUCAGAUUGGACCAAAAAAAAAAUCUGGUUUUGUUAAAAAAGUGUUCAUGACAAGGUCAACAAGUGAGUAUUUAGUUCUUACCGGGAAUUAGUUAUUGAAAUCUCUGCUUCAUCUCCAACGCCAUGAGAAAAACUGCAGCCGUCUUGAAAGAUUUCACAAGGCACUGAUUCAUUCAACUUAUUAUGUAAAAGAAAAAAAAGGAAAACAAAACUAUGCCUCUGGUGCAACAUCUACAUCCUUUUAGGGUAAAUUCCGUACCUUCAAAGAAAACCACCACAUCUCAAUAGCCAGAUGAUCGUUUACAAGUGAACUGAUAACGAAAGAUUCUCCGGAAAUUUACUUCAGCAGCGUCAAUAAGUUCCUGACAGAACCUCUGG
rnacentral:lncRNA from 1 species